rnacentral:lncRNA from 1 species
UACGGGACAUCCAAUCGAAGCUCUGAUCUGAUUGGUCUCUUCGGGAGUGCUAGCUCAUGUGAAGACUAUCUUGCUGGCUGAUAUAGAUCCUUUCUUCAAAUUUUUUGAAUACUUCUAGAGCAUGAAGAAGGACACAAAGGUGGAGGAUGAGGUGGAGGAGAAGAUGGGAAGAAGAGACUCUCUCCCUUCUCACUUUUCUCUCAACCCAUAAAAUCCUAGAUGAAAUCAAAGGGUUCCCAUGCUAGAACACCUCACGCCCA